rnacentral:lncRNA from 1 species
GUAAUGGGACAGCACCCACCUCUGCUUCGGGCCACCCCACUGCCAUCGAGGCCACCUCAGCCCCUGGGGACGUGGGGACCGGAGCUGUGACCCCGCAUGGAUGCCCAGGGUGCAGUGUGGCUUCAUACACACUGAUGCAUUAUUUGUUUUCUUCAGCACUGUGAGAGAGUCACCGAAUGUAGAUCCUCGGAUAAACACGAUCUGCGCACAGAUGAUAUUUCUGACGCCGUCCAAUCUCUUUGCAGCAGUGCAGCCAAAGAGAUCCAGAGGACACCAGCUCUUGCAGGUGAAGAGCAGGAAGAGAUGCAGAGAUAAUACCCAAUAUGACAACCCAGAGGGUGUUCAGCAUAGCCCCGGGACAGCUCAGGUCUACAUACCCAUCUGUUGGUUAAGAGAAGCCACAAUACAGCAGAGGAAGGAACCACAUCCAGCUGCCAUCUGCCCUAAGACACUGAGAAGAUCUGGGACUUUGAUCAGUCAAAACUGAACAUGCACCUUUGCAUUAGCAGUCUGGAGAAUGGCAGACCCAUGAACCAAGUUCUGCCCAGCCCCAGGCUGGCUUUAACCUUGGGUUUCACCUUGGUUGCAUCUUCACAUACUUGCACGCAAAGCAGUGUUGUCCACUCCUGUUUGAUCUGAU